rnacentral:lncRNA from 1 species
AUAUAUAUAUUGAUCACAGGUUCAAACUCAAGUCAAUCUUGACAAAGCAAAGUUUGGUCAUCUUGGCAAACAUCCAGAAAACACAAGUCACAUAAAAGGACCCUUAUUUGCUGGUCUAAAAGAGUUCAAACACUAAAUGGUCCAAACACUUAAGUCACAUCCACUGGAUUUCUACUCCAUAACACUUGAACACCAAAUGGUCCAUAACACACAUAAGAUUCAUGAUUACAAUUAAGUUGGCUGGUCCAAAAUACUGCACACAACCAAAUGCUCUAUAACACUCCAAAGUCAUCACAUCCAUGAAUACUAGGUGGCCGAUUACCUGAAAAUAUUACACAAGAAUUUGGUAGAAAGUGCAGUCAGCUCAAGUUCUUUGAAGCUCAUAGGGAGAUUGACAGCCAAGAGAAGCACAAGAGUAUUUAUGACAAAUGCCUAGAAUACACAUAAUAUAGUUCUGUCAUAUGUGAUAUAAAAUAUAUUUGAAAUGCUGAAAGGAAUCAUCAUGCAGAUAUAUCUACAUACACAUAGAGUAAGCAUUAAUUUCUCCAUGCCAGGCAUAUCCACAAAUUCUAUUCAACACCUUACAUGCAAGAAACUGUAGUAGUAUCAGCCAGUGUAAAGUUGUAUUUGUUCUAAUACGAGGAGUUAGCUCAAAUAUGGAGGUUAUGGGUCAAAUUCUCAUAUGUUCCAACUGAAUGGGACUGCAAACAUGUGAUUGUUACUCACGUGUACAUAUGAGGAAUAUGUGUGGGUGCCCCCUAACCAUUUUAUCUACUUCAAUGUUUGAAAAUAAUUGUGUUUGCAUGUUAUCUGAUGAAGUAGAAUUAAUAUGUACAACUAAUAUAAGAGCACCAAUAAAUAGGGUAUUAUGAAUUGAACACCAAUAAAUAAUAGAGGAUAUUAAAGUUCCUAAAUUAGUACUCCCUCCGUAAACUAAUAUAAGAGCGUUUAGAUCACUAAAAUAGUGAUCUAAACACUGUUAUAUUAGUUUACAUAGGGAGUACAUCGCACACUGUCAUAGUAAUGCUACAAAUACAUGUCGCGCAAACCUUUGUUACCUGUUGCCAUUGGCAUUGAAAAUAUUGACUGAAUUGAAGUAUUAUUUAGAAGACCACAUAUACAUAGAGUAAAUUGGAAAGAGGAAAUUCUCAUACAAGUAAAGAAAAUUAAACAACAUGGUUUACAUCGUAUUAUCCUUAAUAUCAAACUUACAAAUCUGAAUUAGAUGCAUCAUAAUAAUUGGAAAUAUUUAUCACAUCUGCCGAUAACUGAAAAACUCGAAGACAUUACUCAUUAAAGUUGUAGGUGCAAAACCAAAAUCUCAAAAACAAUAUUAACUCCCUUCACAAAUUACUUGUUUUAGAUAGUGUUAGAUUCAUCGGUAUCUAGACAAAUCUAAGACAUGACAGAGGGAGUACAAAAAAAUUAUUUAGACAACUACUGAAAAGUAAGGAUUAUAGAUUGUUUAUCAAAAGUUGUAGGACGAUGCAAACCCCACUAUGCAGACUCACCGGUUAAUAAAAGAAGAUAGAGAUACACACAUUCAUGCCCAGAUGUGAAGGGCAACACAGCAGUCUUGCUUGGAGCGCACCAAUCAAGCUAGCUUCAGCCGUCAGGCCUGUCUGCAACCAUAUGGGAACAAAGGAAAAAGUGAAGAUUCAAUGAUAAGCACCGGAGUCUAUGGAGAACUACUAAGGUAAGAAUAAAUUAAAUGGGUCUGGAUCUGUUAUCUCACUGUGCGCAAGCGCUUGCAUGUCAUCCUUUCCCACACACCAUCAAUCUGUUCUUUUUCCUCGCAAGGCAUGACGGACGCUCAUGAAAAAUUCAUAGAUUAUGGUAGAAAGAUUAGUUGAGCAAGAUUGAUUUAGUAGGAUCUUGGGUGGUGUCGCUUAAGCAGAGGAACUGGUCGAGCCUCAAGCAACAUAGCACACGGCCGGGGGAGAUUUUUACUGCUACGUAUGUACUGGUAGCGCACAUGGAGAAGGCGGGUUCAGGUUAUUUCCAAUUAGACCACUUUAUCCAAGGGCUACUAAUCUGUCCACCAUACUCUUAUGAAUUUUAUCCAAGGGCUACAAGAAAAGUGGUACUCUAGAUUUAUUACUAAUUCUAGCAAUAUCAUCUGUAUAGCUGUUACACAUGCAAUAUCUAGACCGAGAUUUCAGAAACUUGCAAGCUUAUAAUUCAGAAAUUUAAAGUAACCCAUCCCUGUAGCCAUCGAUCUGACCAAAAAAUUAGAAACUAAAAUAAAAUAAGGUUGGAUUGUGCACUUCUCUGUAGUACCACAGAUCCAACAAGUAACCUUCGUAAUGCCAGAUCCUAAUCUUAAACAAAGGGACUGACUAACUAAGCAGGGAUCAGUUUAGGUUCAGACUAACAACAUGUUCAAUCACUCCAACGUAGCUACCAACAAUACAGCUCACGGGUUGCAGCAAACUAGCAGGUCGAUCUAUGAGAGACACAAGAUGUUGUUCGUGUUUGGAAGAACAAUUGCGGAUGCCAUAAUCGGCCCUUUACCUAGCAAAGACCAGUUCCUCUAGCCUGCGUACAUGAAGGAGGGGGUAAGCACCGAAC